UCUUUACCUUCUUGUUCAUAUUUUUGUUUUUAUCUUUUUUUUUUCUAAAUGUCAGACUCCAAGUUUGUUUUGUGUGAUGAAAUAUUCCAAUCUUCUCAUCAUCCUUUCAAGAUUUCUGCAUCAAAAGAAGGGCAUUGGUCUUGCAUCAAGGCCAGCAGUGACUGUGCAAAUUGCUAGAGAAGAACAGAAAAUAGCUGCAUUGCUGAUGCCAGCAUCCUCCUUCAAGAAGGACCUUUCACCUUCAAGAAGCACCUUUCAGGGAUGAGAGCAAUGGCUUUAAAAUAUAAAGUUUUGGACCUUUGGAGCAAAAAUGAGUAAGUUUAAAUGUUCUGCACAUGCAAGUCAGGGUAUGAAACGGAUCAGUAACAACGGAGACUGCAUUUGCCCGUCUUAAUUAUGGUUUUUAAAUGCAAUCUCUUUCACAGCCUUAUUUUUUACAAAUUUUCAAAUUUGUAAGAAUUGAUAAGUUAUCAGCCUUUAGCAAACCACCAAUGCAUUCAUGUCUCUCUCAAUUAUACAUAAUUUCUUCUUGCUAAAUCCCCUGUGUUUUAUUUGAGAGUUGCCUUAUUUAUUGUGAGCCAAUAAUGCAUUGAAUUGUGUGUGCACUGGCAUAUUAUCUUGUUGAACCAUCCAAUUAAAUAUGAUAAUGUUGAACAUACUGACAUAGUUAAACACUCAGGUGAAUGAGCAAUUCACUGUGAAGUGCAGAAAUAUUUAAAGUCAUCUGUGUGCCUUCAAGCAAUCUGUUUUACAUAAAAGAACACUCCAGGAGUUGGAGAAUGAUACAGGUCUGAAAAGAAAAAAAAAAUAUUGAAAUUUACAAAACACAGGCCUCAUGGCUGUCAACUAUGGCUUUUAAGAAGACUGAAACCCCAAAAGAAGUACAGAAGUGAAGCACACUACUUUAUUGGGUGAGUAAUAGACACAAAAGUAAGGUGCUAAUUGUGCUCAGAAUCAUAACAUGGAAUAGCAGCAUUAUUGUGGCCUAUGAAUGUUUUCAUUCUGGAGUAAAGUUACAUUAUAUCUGAUAUGAACUUACAUUUCUGGGAAUACCCCACUGCAGAGAUUUUCUGUGAGAUUAUGUAAAAUCAAUAUGUCCCGAGGUGAAACUUUUGCAUCUAAACCAAUAUAAUUGUCCAUUGAAAAAUCUAGCUGUGAAACUUAAGGAG
rnacentral:lncRNA from 1 species